rnacentral:rRNA from 1 species
UACGUAGGGCGCAAGCGUUGUCCGGAAUUAUUGGGCGUAAAGAGCUCGUAGGCGGUCUGUCGCGUCGGUUGUGAAAACCCAAGGCUCAACCUUGGGCCUGCAAUCGAUACGGGCAGACUAGAGUACUGCAGGGGAGACUGGAAUUCCUGGUGUAGCGGUGGAAUGCGCAGAUAUCAGGAGGAACACCGGUGGCGAAGGCGGGUCUCUGGGCCGUUACUGACGCUGAGGAGCGAAAGCGUGGGGAGCGAACAGG